UACAUUGUUCUUUUGUCCACAAUGUAGGUUAACAUUCCCUGUGUAAAUAACUAUGUUACAUUUGAUAGUUUGUGACCAACUCGGAAUAUGGCCCUAUGAAACUUAGAAAAUUAACUCACUAAGCACAAGCACUGUCCAAUACAAUACAAUAUGCCAUGGUAAACAUUGAACACCUCAUACCUGUAGCACAAGAAAAGAAAAAGAAAAAAACCCACAGAAGUACGUAAGUCAAAUAUAGCCUAAUUCCAUGGGAAAACCAUAACUCUGGCAAAACUGGUUAUAGCUCAGGAUAACAUACAACCCCAUCUCACUGUAAACACACAAUCCUCUGGUACAUUGAGCAAUAAUAUGAAGUUGUUUCUUAGAGUCAUUUCUUGCAAAAGGCUUGAUAGAUUUAGUAAUAGGCUUGGUCUGUGCAAAUAUUUGCAUGGAGCUGCUCUGAUGCUAUCUAAGCAAGAAACUAGAUCCUUUUAUUGACCACAUGAUUUACACACACCUAAGCCACAAUAUUAGAAGACAAAAUGCAAAAGAAAUAUCCACUCUUCAGACAUGCUCAGUUGUUGCAGUGUGCUAAGGAGUGGGUGUGUCCCAAAAUUCUGAAGAACCUCAGUUUUCAGUUUACAAAACAGACAUAUAAAUUCAUGCAUAAAAAACCUUUGUUAGGACUGGGACUGUUUUGGCCUCUAGAGGCCACUGUUAUUUCCUUUUCUGGUCAUGUUUGUUUUGGGCCUCUAGAGGUCACCACUGUGUUCUGUGUUUUGUUUUUGUCUUUUUGCCUGUUUCCUGCCCCGCCCUGUCCUUUAUUAGUUUGUGUAUAAAUACCCCUCUGUUUGUUCCCUUGUCAUGGAGUCUUUUUCCUAUGUUAUGCUGUUAGUGCUAGUUCCCUCUGUCCCAUGUACCUUGCCUGUGUCUUUGUAUUCUUGGUUUUUGCUUCUUUCUUUUGGACUUUGUGGAUUUUGUUUUUGACCUUUUUGAUCUUCUGAGCGUUUGAGUUUUUGCAUUUUUUCUUAUUUGGAUUUUGGACUUUGAACCUUGGGAUAUUUUAUUUUUGUUUAUCUUCUGAGCUUUGGAUUAUUCUUUUUGUUUUUUCCCUUGGAUUGUCUCAUCUCAUUAUCUGUAGCCUCUUUAUCCUGUUCUACAGGGUCGCAGGCAAGCUGGAGCCUAUCCCAGCUGACUAUGGGCGAAAGGCGGGGUACACCCUGGACAAAUUGUCAGGUCAUCACAGGGCUGACACAUAGACACAGACAACCAUUCACACUCACAUUCACACCUACGGUCAAUUUAGAGUCACCAGUUAACCUAACCUGCAUGUCUUUGGACUGUGGGGGAAACUGGAGCACCCAGAGGAAACCCAUGCGGACACGGGGAGAACAUGCAAACUCCACACAGAAAGGCCCUCGCCGGCCACGGGGCUCGAACCCGGACCUUCUUGCUGUGAGGCGACAGCGCUAACCGCUACACCACCGUGGAUUGUACAUAGUGUAAAUAAACUGUUUUUGAUACUUUUCUACUUCCACCUCACGCCUCUGCACUUGAGUCAUCCCCCUGGUGGCCUAGUGGGGAUUUGCUGGAUUAUCACACCAGCGAAUCAGUUCUGAAGGCAGCCUACGUGCAAAAACAUGUUCUGCUGUUGUGCUCAAGCAAGUCAAGUUCUGCAAGACAUUCUUAGUUGGUGUAAUGCUCUGACUACAUUCUUCAUCACCCACAGCUGUAUUUAUGUUUGCGAUUGCUGAUCUCCCUACAGAAUUCUCUUCACCAACUCCCUUCAGGCUAGGCCAAAUGUUCUGAUCAUACUGAAACAUUUGGUUUGAUAUAAGAAUUUCAAAAAUCAACUUGAGGUUAUUUAAACAAGCACGUAGAGAUCCUUAUUGGGUUUUUGAAACUGAAAUCUCUGAACUGAGGCUGAUAUACACAGGCUGUCACCAUGACCGAAACUCUUAUUUCCCAGAAAUGGUCUCAAUACUCUUUUUUUUCGACAACUUCCUGUAACAACUCGGAAGUGCGUCACAUCUACAUCACACAUGGGACCACUGGCCGAAGAAGGUGAGGAAAAGGGGACAACCUGGAGUAUAUUUUAAAAUAGGAAUACACUUUCCCUCUGCAAUAAGCAUAAACAUGUCUGAAAGCGA